ACGAACGCUGGCGGCGUGCUUAACACCUGCAAGUCGAACGGAAAGGCCCUGCUUGCAGGGUACUCGAGUGGCGAACGGGUGAGUAACACGUGGGUGAUCUGCCCUGCACUUCGGGAUAAGCCUGGGAAACUGGGUCUAAUACCGGAUAGGAGCCAUUUUUAGUGUGAUGGUUGGAAAGUUUUUUCGGUGUAGGAUGAGCUCGCGGCCUAUCAGCUUGUUGGUGGGGUAAUGGCCUACCAAGGCGGCGACGGGUAGCCGGCCUGAGAGGGUGGACGGCCACAGUGGGACUGAGAUACGGCCCAGACUCCUACGGGAGGCAGCAGUGGGGAAGAUUGCACAAUGGGCGCAAGCCGGAUGCAGCGACGCCGCGUGGGGGAUGACGGCCUUCGGGUUGGAAACUCCUUUCGCUAGGGACGAAGCUUUUUGUGACGGUACCUAGAGAAGAAGCACCGGCUAACUACGUG
rnacentral:rRNA from 1 species